rnacentral:rRNA from 1 species
CCUACGGGUGGCAGCAGUGAGGAAUAUUGGUCAAUGGACGAGAGUCUGAACCAGCCAAGUAGCGUGAAGGAUGACUGCCCUAUGGGUUGUAAACUUCUUUUAUAUGGGAAUACAUUGUUCCACGUGUGUGAUUUUGUAUGUACCAUAUGAAUAAGGAUCGGCUAACUCCGUGCCAGCAGCCGCGGUAAUACGGAGGAUCCGAGCGUUAUCCGGAUUUAUUGGGUUUAAAGGGUGCGUAGGCGGAAGGUUAAGUCCGCGGUCAAAUGUCGGUGCUCAACACCGGCCUGCCGUUGAAACUGGUAUGCUUGAGUGAGCGAGAAGUAAGCGGAAUGCGAGGUGUAGCGGUGAAAUGCGUAGAUAUCACGAAGAACACCGAUUGCGAAGGCAGCAUACCGGGGCGAAACUGACGCUGAGGCACGAAAGCGUGGGGAUCGAACAGGAUUAGAUACCCUUGUAGUC